GGGUUGUGAGGUUAAGCGACUAAGCGUACACGGUGGAUGCCCUGGCAGUCAGAGGCGAUGAAGGACGUGCUAAUCUGCGAAAAGCGUCGGUAAGGUGAUAUGAACCGUUACAGCCGGCGAUGUCCGAAUGGGGAAACCCAGUGCAAUUCGUUGCACUAUCGUUAACUGAAUACAUAGGUUAACGAGGCGAACCGGGGGAACUGAAACAUCUAAGUACCCCGAGGAAAAGAAAUCAACCGAGAUUCCCCAGUAGCGGCGAGCGAACGGGGAGCAGCCCGGAGUCUGAAUCAGCUUGUGUGUUAGUGGAAGCGUCUGGAAAGUCGCAGGGUACAGGGUGAUACUCCCGUACACUAAAACACACAGGUUGUGAACUCGAAGAGUAGGGCGGGACACGUGGUAUCCUGUCUGAAUAUGGGGGACCAUCCUCCAAGGCUAAAUACUCCUGACUGACCGAUAGUGAACCAGUACCGUGAGGGAAAGGCGAAAAGAACCCCGGCGAGGGAGUGAAAAGAACCUGAAACCGUGUACGUACAAGCAGUAGGAGCCCACUAGUUGGGUGACUGCGUACCUUUGUAUAAUGGGUCAGCGACUUAUAUUCUGUAGCAAGGUUAACCGUAUAGGGAGCCGCAGGGAAACCGAGUCUUAACUGGGCGUUAAGUUGCAGGGUAUAGACCCGAAACCCGGUGAUCUAGCCAUGGGCAGGUUGAAGGUUGGGUAACACUAACUGGAGGACCGAACCGACUAAUGUUGAAAAAUUAGCGGAUGACUUGUGGCUGGGGUGAAAGGCCAAUCAAACCGGGAGAUAGCUGGUUCUCCCGAAAGCUAUUUAGGUAGCGCCUCGUGAACUCAUCUUCGGGGUAGAGCACUGUUUCGGCUAGGGGGUCAUCCCGACUUACCAACCCGAUGCAAACUACGAAUACCGAAGAAUGUUAUCACGGGAGACACACGGCGGGUGCUAACGUCCGUCGUGAAGAGGAAACAACCCAGACCGCCAGCUAAGGUCCCAAAGUCAUGGUUAAGUGGGAAACGAUGUGGGAAGGCCCAGACAGCCGGAUGUUGGCUUAGAAGCAGCCAUCAUUUAAAGAAAGCGUAAUAGCUCACUGGUCGAGUCGGCCUGCGCGGAAGAUGUAACGGGGCUAAACCAUGCACCGAAGCUGCGGCAGCGACACUAUGUGUUGUUGGGUAGGGGAGCGUUCUGUAAGCCGUUGAAGGUGGCCUGUGAGGGUUGCUGGAGGUAUCAGAAGUGCGAAUGCUGACAUAAGUAACGAUAAUGCGGGUGAAAACCCGCACGCCGGAAGACCAAGGGUUCCUGUCCAACGUUAAUCGGGGCAGGGUGAGUCGACCUAAGGCGAGGCCGAAAGGCGUAGUCGAUGGGAAACAGGUUAAUAUUCCUGUACUCGGUGUUACUGCGAAGGGGGACGGAGAAGGCUAUGUUGGCCGGGCGACGGUUGUCCCGGUUUAAGCAUGUAGGCGGAUGUUCCGUGUAAAUCCGGAACGUCACUAACGCUGAGGUGUGAUGACGAGGCACUACGGUGCUGAAGUGACAAAUGCCCUGCUUCCAGGAAAAGCCUCUAAGCAUCAGGUAACAUCAAAUCGUACCCCAAACCGACACAGGUGGUCAGGUAGAGAAUACCAAGGCGCUUGAGAGAACUCGGGUGAAGGAACUAGGCAAAAUGGUGCCGUAACUUCGGGAGAAGGCACGCUGAUGGUAGGUGAAGUGACUUGCUCAUGGAGCUGAAAUCAGUCGAAGAUACCAGCUGGCUGCAACUGUUUAUUAAAAACACAGCACUGUGCAAACACGAAAGUGGACGUAUACGGUGUGACGCCUGCCCGGUGCCGGAAGGUUAAUUGAUGGGGUUAUCCUCGCGGAGAAGCUCUUGAUCGAAGCCCCGGUAAACGGCGGCCGUAACUAUAACGGUCCUAAGGUAGCGAAAUUCCUUGUCGGGUAAGUUCCGACCUGCACGAAUGGCGUAAUGAUGGCCAGGCUGUCUCCACCCGAGACUCAGUGAAAUUGAACUCGCUGUGAAGAUGCAGUGUACCCGCGGCAAGACGGAAAGACCCCGUGAACCUUUACUAUAGCUUGACACUGAACACUGGUCCUUGAUGUGUAGGAUAGGUGGGAGGCUUUGAAGUGUGGACGCCAGUCUGCAUGGAGCCAUCCUUGAAAUACCACCCUUUAAUGGCUGGUGUUCUAACGUGGGCCCCUGAUCGGGGUUGCGGACAGUGUCUGGUGGGUAGUUUGACUGGGGCGGUCUCCUCCUAAAGAGUAACGGAGGAGCACGAAGGUCAGCUAAUCUGGUCGGACAUCAGGAGGUUAGUGCAAUGGCAUAAGCUGGCUUGACUGCGAGCGUGACGGCGCGAGCAGGUGCGAAAGCAGGUCAUAGUGAUCCGGUGGUUCUGAAUGGAAGGGCCAUCGCUCAACGGAUAAAAGGUACUCCGGGGAUAACAGGCUGAUACCGCCCAAGAGUUCAUAUCGACGGCGGUGUUUGGCACCUCGAUGUCGGCUCAUCACAUCCUGGGGCUGAAGUAGGUCCCAAGGGUAUGGCUGUUCGCCAUUUAAAGUGGUACGCGAGCUGGGUUUAGAACGUCGUGAGACAGUUCGGUCCCUAUCUGCCGUGGGCGCUGGAGAAUUGAGGGGGCUGCUCCUAGUACGAGAGGACCGGAGUGGACGCAUCACUGGUGUUCGGGUUGUCAUGCCAAUGGCAUUGCCCGGUAGCUAAAUGCGGAAGAGAUAAGUGCUGAAAGCAUCUAAGCACGAAACUUGCCCCGAGAUGAGUUCUCCCUGACCCUUUAAGGGUCCUGAAGGAACGUUGAAGACGACGACGUUGAUAGGCCGGGUGUGUAAGCGCAGCGAUGCGUUGAGCUAACCGGUACUAAUGAACCGUGAGGCUUAACCUUACAACGCCGAAG
rnacentral:rRNA from 1 species